GGGCUUGGUUCAGUAGCACAAAAACAAAAAUCGAAAUGGUACCGAGAACAUUAGCAUGGCCCUUGCAUAAGAAUGACACAUAAAAAAAAAACAAAUAGAGCCUUCGAUAUUU